rnacentral:rRNA from 1 species
AAAGAGUAGAUUUAAUACCCCGUAAUAAAUUGAACGGCUAUCGUUUGAUUUUGAAAGCUCCGGGCGGUUUGAGAUGAGUAUGCGUCUGAUUAGCUAGUUGGUGAGGUAACGGCUCACCAAGGCGACGAUCAGUAGGGGACCUGAGAGGACUAACCCCCACACUGGUACUGAGACACGGACCAGACUCCUACGGGAGGCAGCAGUAAGGAAUAUUGGUCAAUGGAGGCAACUCUGAACCAGCCAUGCCGCGUGCAGGAUGACGGCCCUAUGGGUUGUAAACUGCUUUUAUACAAGAGAAAACCCUGGUACGUGUACCAAGUUGAUAGUAUUGUAAGAAUAAGCAUCGGCUAACUUCGUG